UACGUAGGGUGCAAGCGUUGUCCGGAAUUAUUGGGCGUAAAGAGCUCGUAGGCGGUUCGUCACGUCGGCUGUGAAAUCCCGAGGCUCAACCUCGGGUCUGCAGUCGAUACGGGCGGACUUGAGUACUGCAGGGGAGACUGGAAUUCCUGGUGUAGCGGUGAAAUGCGCAGAUAUCAGGAGGAACACCGGUGGCGAAGGCGGUUCUCUGGGCCUUACCUGACGCUGAGGAGCGAAAGCGUGGGGAGCGAACAGG
rnacentral:rRNA from 1 species